GAUGAACGCUGGCGGCGUGCCUAAUACAUGCAAGUCGAGCGAACGGACGAGAAGCUUGCUUCUCUGAUGUUAGCGGCGGACGGGUGAGUAACACGUGGAUAACCCACCUAUAAGACUGGGAUAACUUCGGGAAACCGGAGCUAAUACCGGAUAAUAUUUUGAACCGCAUGGUUCAAAAGUGAAAGACGGUCUUGCUGUCACUUAUAGAUGGAUCCGCGCUGCAUUAGCUAGUUGGUAAGGUAACGGCUUACCAAGGCAACGAUGCAUAGCCGACCUGAGAGGGUGAUCGGCCACACUGGAACUGAGGCACGGUCCAGACUCCUACGGGAGGCAGCAGUAGGGAAUCUUCCGCAAUGGGCGAAAGCCUGACGGAGCAACGCCGCGUGAGUGAUGAAGGUCUUCGGAUCGUAAAACUCUGUUAUUAGGGAAGAACAUAUGUGUAAGUAACUGUGCACAUCUUGACGGUACCUAAUCAGAAAGCCACGGCUAACUACGUG
rnacentral:rRNA from 1 species